GAGUGCUUAUCAAACGACCCUCGAGCUAGAUCCGCCCGAGGCGCCAAACUGCACGCACCCUUCUGCAAGUGGAAUAGGGUCGCGCGGCACGCUGUGCUGGCGAACCGGACUCAAAUUAGCAAAUGUGCCAGAGGGUUACCCCGAGUCGAAAUUCAACUUCUUUAUAUUACAAGAUGAGGACCUGAGACACAACUGGAGGAACUAUCCAGUGUCCCAGCAUUCAGUGGUUGUUUACAUUUUAAAUGUAUCAUAAACAUCAUAUAGUUGGCUUUUUUUUAAUUUAAUAAUCAUAUUUUCUUUUCAUUGAA